rnacentral:rRNA from 1 species
CCUACGGGAGGCAGCAGGGAGGAAUAGUGGUCAAGGGACGGAAGACUGAACCAGCCAGGCCGCGUGCAGGAAGACGGCGCGAUGAGGUGUAAACUGCUGUUGUACAAGGGUAAACCUGAAUACGUGUAUUCAGCUGAAAGUACUGUACGAAUAAGGAUCGGCUAACUCCGUGCCAGCAGCCGCGGCAAUACGGAGGAUCCAAGCGUUAUCCGGAUUUAUUGGGUUUAAAGGGUGCGUAGGCGGAUUGAUAAGUUAGAGGUGAAAUGUCCGAGCUUAACUCGGGAACUGCCUCUAAUACUGUUGAUCUCGAGCGUAGCUGCGGUCGGCGGAAUGUGUGGUGUAGCGGU